CUGUAAUUGACUGGUAGGGUUGCAACAAAAUUAAAGACCAAAAUAACUUGUGUUCAAAGUUUGCAGGCAUAAAACGUGAUGUUACUUCAAGGUUUGGAUACAGACUUCAUAAAUAUUCAGGGCUGAAGGUCGCACAGAGCCAAGCCCAAGUUGUUUAAGUCAGCAGAAGGACUACUGCAAGCUUCAAAGGAACUUGAAUACAUUUUUAAGAACAUUUCAGAAUGGUUCUUAUCCUGUGCUGAAGGAUCAUUUAACUAUCAGGAUAAGAAGUACAAGCAGACAGCACCAGGCUCUGUCAUACCCCAUAGAAAUAGACAGCUCUUCCAAGCAGACCAUCUCAUCUGUUCAGAUUACCUGUCAUGUUUGGGGAGACCCAAAUCUUUUCCAAAUAAAAGGCUUUGACUGAAAAUUUCGUAGACACCCAAACCAUAACUGAAGGCCAAGAUGUCAAAUGUUACAAAUACGGUACCUACAUAAAAAGAGCCGAGGUCUGAGAAGAUUUGUAAGUCAGUGGAAUUUCUGCUUUGGAUGAAAUAACUCACGGUUGUAAAUCUAUGUGCUAGCACACUUCUUAAGCAAGAUACAGUACAGGGAAACUACAAAUAGUGUCUACGUUCCUUCUAUGUGGCUGAGAUUAGAAGACUGUUAACAAUAGAGAGUGGGAAAUCUGGGACUGGAACGUCAAGAACAAACCGCAGAAGAAGAGAUUAGGGUCUGCUUCAGGGGAACCUCAAAUACAGAAGCUCAGAUCCAGCCUGACAAGGCAGACAACAUCUCUAACUCUACAAGGUUCACAAGUAAAACAAUGUAUUUACAGUUCUAUUGGAGUCUUGACGGUCUUCAAUUUUUGAGGUAGUGCAAAAGUUGUUAAAAAGUAACAGCUGACAAGAAGCUUGAAAAGUGAAGACACAAAACACAAAAAGAAAUAUCAACAGAGCAAGAGACAGUAAAACAGAAGAUAUAUUGGAAAAGGAGGAGAGGGAAGACAGGGAAGAAAACAGUAACCAAAGAGAAUAGAAAUGUAGAAAACAUCAUAUCAUUAAUCCAUCACAAGGGACUCUGACACCUCCUGCUAGAGAGUUUUGUAUGAGUAUUCCUACAGACAGCUGAAAUUGUACACUUCGAAGAAUAAAGGAUUUACAUAAAUAUAUAAAUGCUAUUGAUCAUUUAACACAAUUGAUCACUACAGCCUUGACUGAGGUCAGUGGGAAUUUUGCCAUUGCUGCUUUGUAGUUUGUUUUUCACUUUCAAAGUAUCAGUGUUGAAGUGGAAAAUAACAGACAAAAAUUAUCAGUUGUACAAACAGUGGUCUCAAAGAAAAGUUCAAGAUAUAUUUUUGAAAAACUUGAUUAAAACAAUAUUGCUUUUUUCUACUUCCAAUGACUGUUGCUGUUACUGAACUGAGAAGACAGAUUUUAUUCCAGUGGAAAUAAGUGUUAGAAUAAAAAAAAUGAGAAGACCACAAUAAGGCUAGCAAAGGCGGAAGUAUAGAGGAAAAAAACCCACAACCCUAAGAUGUCAGCUUAGUGCAGCUAGUCUGCGGUCAGUGUCAUGGAACAUGCACAGUAAAGAGCAGCCUAUUGUAUUUUAUAGCUUCACAUACAAAACAGAAAGACUCAUGGGAGCUACACAGCUAAGAUUCUAUUUCUCAUGUGAAAAAAGGAAAUUGCCAACAUGUAUUUCAUAACCAUUAUUAUCCUAUUAAAUAAAGAUAGUACUCUGCUCUCUUAAUUUUUUUUGUUUAGAUAAGGUAUCUGUUUGGAAAACUUCUAUGCACACACACACACACAUAUAUAUUUAAGUAAAAAAUAAGUACUGUUAUAUUUACUGAAUUUUUUCAACAAUAUAACCAAGCUCACUUUAACUGUAUUUAACUACAAUUUCUCACAUCAUUUGGUAUCUGUUAAUUUAUUUGGUUGAUUUCUGCUCAGAACAGGUAGUAUAAUUUUCAUUGAGAACUGUGCUUAAUUUAUCAUGCCUAAAUACAUUUUAAAUUCUGUUGAUUUGUAUUUACACUUUUUAGUCACUUGUAUUAAAGUUUCAUAAAGGCAUUUUUAUUGUUUCUUUCUGAAAAUUGCAAUAUAUUUCUGCUGUUUAUAGUCUUUUUGUCAGCUUUGUUGUUCUCUCCACAUAACCGAGCAACUCAAUGUCUUUCCCAUAG
ensembl:lncRNA